rnacentral:rRNA from 1 species
UAUUAUAAUUAAUGUUAAAUUAUUGCUAGGGUAAUAAUAGAUGUUCUUGAAACCCAAAGGAUUUGGCGGUAUUUUAGUCCUUUCAGGGGAAUUUGUCUUUUAAUUGAUAAUACACAAUUUGUUUUACUUAAUUAAGUUAUCAAUUUGUAUAUCGCCGUCAUAAGAUUAUUUUUGUUUUGAGAAUUUAAUUUUCUUGUAAUUAUAUUAAAAAAUAUGUCAGGUCAAGGUGCAGUUUAUGAUUAAGGUAUAGAUGAGUUACAAUAAUUUUAAUUUAUUACGAAUAAUUAUUAUAAGUUUAAUUUGAAGGUGGAUUUGAUUGUAAAUUUAUUUUUAAUUUUUAUAUUGAUUAGGGCUCUAAAAUGUGUACAUAUCGCCCGUCGCUCUCAUACUUUAAUUAUAUGAG